GCUGCAAGACAGAAGACAAUGGAGUCCAUUCACAUACGGUUGGGCCUCAUUGAUCUUGGGAAGAGAAGGAGCUGAUCCCCUUAGCUGUGAGGUCUUUACUCUUUUUCCCUUAUCAAGGUUUUAUCCCAAUGGGUUUUCCUUGGUAAGGUUUUUAAUGAGGAAGAUCUCAUAGCUAUCCAAGCUUAGGCUUUCACAAAGCUAAGCUUGAGGGGGAGUGUUGAGUUGAGUUGAUUAUAUUGGUAUGGAGAGAAGAGGAGUUGAAGAGGAGAAGAGAUGGAGAAGCUUAGGGAGUUUGGGUGUGAAUGGUACGGACGUCCGUACAAGGCCGUACAUGGCCGUACCGUCCGUACCAAAGGUCUCGACCAAAACUUACCCAACUCGACCAAGUGAAACGGUAACAAGGGAGUGUUACCUUGGGGACUUAAGGAGAAGGGAUCAGACCGUUGAGUGGAUAAGGGAAGAGCGUGCCAGGCUGGAACAGGCUGUAAAGAGGCAAAGCGUGUGAGCCUUACCAUCCAAUCAUCCGGAAAGCAACCUUGACUCUACAUGCUUCAAUAGUGCCCAUUUCGCCUCUUGUAAACCCUAAUGCUUUCCAUAUAAAUAUGUAACCUCACUCAUUAAUAAGAUCAGUCAGUUCGAG
rnacentral:lncRNA from 1 species